CACUGCUGGGCUUUGUCUGACCAAGAGCUGAACAAUAUCGUUCAGUCCAACACUGUAAUCAAAAAGGGAGUGACCAUCCUCCAUCUGUUUGCCGCGGUAGAAGAGACGCUGCCGGUGGGGCUCGAUGCCAAACACCUCAUGGAUCCGCAGGCGCAGCCCCUCCACCUUGGUGAGCUUGGAGAGCGAGUCCACGCGGUGGGUCUCCCUCCCGUCCAUGGUGCGCACCUGGAUCCACAUGGCGCCGGCCCGGCGUAGCUCCGCGGUGCUGGAGGCCGCUACCGCGCUGCGCCCCGCGGCCGCCGCCCGCGCUCUCCCCGGGCUUUGGAGUUUGGCGCGGAAAAGCCCCGUGCGCGGCGGGCGCCCGCCCAUUGGUCGCCGCUGGCGGGAACGAGCGGGAGGGGUGGGGCCGUCAUUGCCUCCCGGGAGCGCGGAGCCGCAGGGGAUCCGCGCGCGAAAGCGGCACUGCCGGGGGGUGAAGGGCCGGAGGGCGCGGAGUCGAGAGGGCCGCACAGCAGACAGCCCCGCGGCAUCCCGGGGCGCAGGCAGCAUUGACUGUCCCGUAAUGUAAAACCGGGAGCGCAACCGUCCCACUGACAGGUCCACAAAGCCAGUCCCACCUUUUCAUUCCCUUCUAGCCGCCAUAACUCCAAGCCACGCCAUCACCACCCAGUGCCCACCACGCAGCACGUGCUUCCGGGCAGCUUGAGAGACCAUCCUGGUAGGAGAGGCCUCCGGGAACCCCCAGCUCCAAACCCUUCAGCUCGCAGCUGCAGAGCCCCCAGGGUGCGCAGCAGUGAUGCAGCAUGGGGCCCUUCAGAAACAUGGCCUCAGGUGCCGUGAGUGGGGCUGCUCUGGGGAGUCUUCCUCCAACAGGGAAGGAAAUAAAAAAGGGUAAUGUAUGCUGAGCCUGGGCAUACUUUACUGGGCAUACUGAGUCUAGCUGGAGCAAACCGUAAGCUGGGAAUUACCAAGAGGUUUCUGAGAAAACGCAUCUUGGAAAGAAGUAGAAAAUGAUGAAAACUGGCGAAGGUGGGGAAGAAGAGGUGCUCGGUUGAGAGUGUGGUUGCUGCAGGGGGUGGCUCCAGCAGAAGCAGCUUCAGCAGCUCUGCAACCUGCCUGGGCCUAGCAGAGCUGCUAUCCGGUCCUUCCAGACAAAGAGAGCACAAGGUGCUCUGGAGCUCAGUACAAAACAGAACUUCCCUUGGUACGCCUCCCGCACCCACAGACUCAGAGCCAAUCUCUCAUGUGCAUGUUAAAAAACACAAAAUCUGUGGGAUGGAGCACCCACCACACCCCCAAUUUGCAGACUGCUGUAGUGAAUGCAUACAGCAAGAGAGCAGUGUGUGUUCCUCCCUUACCUCCCUGCUCUCAUCCUUAGGAUCUGUUGGGGAUCCCACAGCUAAGCAGAUCACAGGUUGAAAGGCACUGGCCUAAAUUAGGUUAGUACCAAAAGUUAGGCAUGUGUCAGUGCAUAAAAGCCUUGGAUGUGACCUGCGACCUGCAGCAGUCAGGCUUCAUUUCCUCCCAGAUCUGAAGGCUUUGCCUUGCAAGAAAGUUGUUUCCCCCCCUGGAGAUCAACUGGAGUCUUAACCUUGACCCACUGUAGCAGCAAACUCUUUCCGCAAUCUGAAGGGGUUAUCAGAUAUUUCAGAACUGGCAGGGAACAGGAAGAAAGGCUGUGCAUUGGGAAAACAGUUUUCACCCUUAUACAGACAGGUCGCACAUCUAAAGUAUCUCAUGUUUGGGACUUCUGGGUUGAAGUCUCAAGCAGUGUUGCUUAAUAGCAUGCCUGGAUCCAUGUGUUGUCACCCACAUCCCAUUUUUAGAAGAGUGAAGAACAAACAUCCCUCACAACUUCCAGGCAGUUUAACAACAGACACUUACUACCCACUUUCAGAGUUUUUUCAGCAUUCCUUACACCUCUAUAGAAGUGCAAUAAGAAGUUCAAAAAAGACACUUUAAGAUCCAGACCUGACCCUUUCCUUGAAUACUGUGUCACAUUAACCCAG
rnacentral:lncRNA from 1 species